UUGAAGUUUGAUUCACUGUGUUCGAUAAGCAUUUGCCACUUUUUGGCUCCACACUAAUACCUGAUGCCUGAAGUUCGCUCAUCAGACUCACGAUGAGGCCUACUAAUCGUUUAAAAUAAUUGGAAAAUAUCUACAGAACCAUCGCAAGAUUAAACAAAAUUAUUCUAUUUAUCAUAUCAAACAGACUAUGCAAAAUAGAAAAGUCUCAAGUACUUUGACAUCUGAAGGACAAUUGCAGAGCGAAUCACCAAUUAAUUUGCAACAAACAUCCAUCUUCAUCCACAGAACCGUGAUGGAAACGUUCAACUACAAAAUUUGGGAAAAGUUGGUUCGAAGAUCGUUACCAAAGUACCUCUUUCAUCUUCGAAGAUCAGAGCAACAUCAGUGGCGUUUUUCAACAUCAAAAGAUCAUCGAUCGCUUGGAUGAUCAGAGAUUGACCGAGUCGGCGCAGGAGAUGCGGAAGGUUUCAGUCAGACAGGUUCGUCGCGUGAAUAAUUCAACAAUAGUACAGCAACCUUUCCAUAUCGAUGUAUCGAUGAAGUAAUCAAAGUUUCAUGCCAUCCAAUCAAUGUUUAACUCGUGUAUUUAAUUUCAUAUCAUCUUUACCGUGCAAUAUUGUACGAAGAAAUGACAAAGAAAAGUAAUAAGUCUUCUAAAGCAAUUUCAAAUCAUCUGUUAUCUAUUUAAAAAAAUCAAGCAUCAUUCUGUGACAAAUGAUACGAAAAAUAAUAAAUUCUGCGACGAACAAUAGACAAGAAAUUAUCUAAAGAAGUUUUCAAUCUAUUAUCUAUUUUAAAAAAGCAAAAAGCAAAAUCAAGAAUUUAUAUAAUAAAAUUAAAGAAUUAUAUGCAUCCCAAAAAGCAGAAAACUACAAGCGUGACAAAGAGAACAAAAUCAAAAGUAUUUGACAAAUGGAAACACCAAGAAACGCAAGCAGCAAUGCACACACUGCAACUAGAGUCGUGGACAUGGCUCAGGAGAAUGGAGUCGGUACCGGAUGGACGAACAACGGUCG